rnacentral:lncRNA from 1 species
GCGAGGCGGCGGCGGCGGUGGGGUCGCGUUAGGCGGGUGUCGCGUACGGCCGAUAGCUGCCGCCGCCUCAGAGGGCGGGCUGAACCGCGCUCCCGCCUCGGUGAUGUGCCGGUGCUGUUACCAGGCAUCGAGGGGGAAAAACAAAACAAAGCAAACAAAAUAAUAGCACAAAAGCUCUUCACCUCAGGAUCAGCCCUAAGCGCUGCUCGGCUCCCCUUUAUCCUUGUUGCAUGGAGCAGCCACGCUUUACGCAGCCAGGCACCACCUGCGGCUGCAGAGGUCCUCCGGUGAUUCCCUGUGAAGUUCUCCCCUCAGUGCUUAGGUGGGGUUUUCUUUCCUGCUAGCUCAAAGUCUGAAAUGUUUUGCCGUUCUAUAGGCAACUAAGCUGUGGUGUAAUGCCAAGCACGAGCUCAGAAACCCAGCCCUUCACAGGGAAGACAUUGUUCAUAUUCACUAGAAUAGAUGUGACUUACUGCCGCUUGUAUGGUGAAUUAGGGGCUGGGCUGGCAUUAGUGAUGCUCCAACUUUGGUGAAACCAAUCUCAGUGAAACGAUCUUGUGAGGAACUCAGAAGUUUCAACUUUGAAUUAAGAGAUUAACGCUACCACCACAGUCCAAGCAAUACUAUGGAUACAUUGGGAACUGAGGGCCUGCAAAGACGAGUUCUGUUUCAGGCCUGCUGCCAGAAGGAGCUCUGUGAAAGGCUGGAAUGUCUGCGAGGAAUGGCACGUUACAGCAGCGGCGGUGCAUCUGUUGUGCAUGGCAGCUGCUGUGCAGCACUGGGCUCUCUGCAUCCUCUUGGUAUUUACAGACAACUGCUUUGAAUGUUAUGUUUUGUGUGGACACCUGUAAAAUACACUGCACAGGUUCUUG